rnacentral:rRNA from 1 species
CCUACGGUAGGCAGCAGUGGGGAAUAUUGGGCAAUGGGCGCAAGCCUGCCCCAGCAACGCCGCGUGAAGGAAGAAGGCUUUCGGGUUGGAAACUUCUUUUCUCAGGGACGAAGCAAGUGACGGUACCUUAGGAAUAAGCCACGGCGAAAAACGUGCCCGCAGCCGCUGUAAUACGUAGGUGUCAAGCGUUAUCCGGAUUUACUGGUUGUAAAGGGCAUGUAGGCGGGACUGCAAGUCAGAUGUGAAAACCAUGGGCUCAACCUGUGGCCUGCAUUCGAAACUGUAGUUCUUGCGUACUGGAGAGGCAGACGGAAUUCCUAGUGUAGCGGUGAAAUGCGUAGAUAUUAGGAGGAACACCAGUGGCGAAGGCGGUCUGCUGGACAGCAACUGACGCUGAGGCGCGAAAGCGUGGGGAGCAAACAGGAUUAGAUACCCGAGUAGUC